rnacentral:rRNA from 1 species
GACAGAGGUGCCGAGCGUUAGGCGGAAUCACUGGGCUUAAAGCGUGUGUAGGCGGAUCGUUAAGUACCUUGUGAAAUCCCACGGCUCAACCGUGGAACUGCUUGGUAUACUGGCGGUCUUGAGCCAGCUAGGGGCUACCGGAACAAAUGGUGGAGCGGUGAAAUGCGUAGAUAUCAUUUGGAACGCCAAUGGUGAAAACAGGUAGCUGGGGCUGUGCUGACGCUGAGACACGAAAGCCAGGGGAGCGAACGGG